rnacentral:rRNA from 1 species
UCAAGUUAUUAAGGGUGCAGGGCGAAUGCCUUGGCACUAGGAGCCGAUGAAGGACGUGAUAAGCUGCGAUAAGCUUCGGGGAGUUGCACGUAAACUUUGAUCCGAAGAUUUCCGAAUGAGGAAACUCACUUAGAGUAAUGUCUAAGUAUCGUAUGAUGAAUACAUAGUCAUGCGAGGGGAACCCGGAGAACUGAAACAUCUAAGUACCCGGAGGAAGAGAAAGAAAUUCGAUUCCGUAAGUAGCGGCGAGCGAACGCGGAACAGGCCAAACCAGUGAAGUUUUCUUCGCUGGGGUUGCGGACAUAUCAUAACGAAGAGGUAUCGUAGAAGAAGAGAGUUGGAAAGCUCCGCCAUAGAUGGUAACAGCCCAGUAUUUUAAACGAGAAGACUUUAGAUAUGAUCCAGAGUACCACGGGACACGUGAAACCCUGUGGGAAGCAGGAGGGACCAUCCUCCAAGCCUAAAUACUACCUAGUGACCGAUAGCGUAUAGUACCGUGAGGGAAAGGUGAAAAGAACCCCGGGAGGGGAGUGAAAGAGAACCUGAAACCCUGCACUUACAAGCUGUAGGAGCACAUUAUUUGUGUGACUGCGUACUUUUUGUAGAACGGGCCAACGAGUUACGUUGUGUAGCAAGGUUAAGCACUUAAGGUGUGGAGCCGUAGCGAAAGCGAGUCUUAAAUGGGCGUCCAGUUACCCGACGUAGACCCGAAACCAGGCGACCUAUCCAUGAGCAGGUUGAAGCGAAAGUAAAAUUUCGUGGAGGACCGAACCCACGUACGUUGAAAAGUGCGGGGAUGACUUGUGGAUAGCGGUGAAAUUCCAAUCGAGCCUGGAGAUAGCUGGUUCUCCCCGAAAUAGCUUUAGGGCUAGCCUCAAGCUUAGAGAAACGGAGGUAGAGCACUGAAUGUCCUAGGGGGUAUUGCACUUACCGAAGACUAUCAAACUCCGAAUGCCGUAUUCUUUUGCUUGGGAGUCAGACUAUGGGUGAUAAGAUUCAUAGUCAAGAGGGCAACAGCCCAGAUCGUCAGCUAAGGUCCCUAAAUGUAAGUUAAGUGGUAAAGGAUGUGGAAUUGCACAGACAACCAGGAUGUUGGCUUAGAAGCAGCCACUCAUUUAAAGAGUGCGUAAUAGCUCACUGGUCGAGUGAUUCUGCGCCGAAAAUUUCCGGGGCUAAAACUUACUACCGAAGCUACGGCAUCAUUAUGAUGGGUAGGGGAGCUUUCUAUGCGGCUUGAAGCAUGACCGUAAGGACAUGUGGACUGCAUAGAAGUGAGAAUGUUGGCAUGAGUAGCGAGAUGUGGGUGAGAAUCCCACAGGCCGUAAACCCAAGGUUUCCAGGGGAAGGUUCGUCCGCCCUGGGUUAGUCAGGACCUAAGCCGAGGCCGAAAGGCGUAGGUGAUGGACAACAGGUUGAUAUUCCUGUACCACCAAUAACCGUUUGAGAAAUGGGAUGACACAGUAGGAUAAGCUAACCGCACUGUUGGUUAUGUGCGGGCAAGUAUUGAGGCAGUUCCGAUAGGCAAAUCCGUCGGAAUAAUGCUGGGGUACGAUGCGGAGCGAAAUUAAGUAGCGAAGUAGCUGAUUUCACACUGUCGAGAAAAGUCUCUAUCGAGGUUAAAGGUGCCUGUACCGCAAACCGACACAGGUGGGUGAGGAGAGUAUCCUAAGGCCAGCGAGAGAACUGUUGUUAAGGAACUCGGCAAAAUGACCCCGUAACUUCGGGAGAAGGGGUGCCUUCGAAAGAAGGCCGCAGAGAAUAGGCCCAAGCGACUGUUUACCAAAAACAUAGGUUUCUGCUAAGUCGCAAGACGAUGUAUAGGAGCUGACGCCUGCCCGGUGCUGGAAGGUUAAGGGGAUCUGUUAGAGCAAUCGAAGCAGUGAACUUAAGCCCCAGUAAACGGCGGCCGUAACUAUAACGGUCCUAAGGUAGCGAAAUUCCUUGUCGGGUAAGUUCCGACCCGCACGAAAGGCGUAACGAUUUGGGCACUGUCUCAACAACACACUCGGUGAAAUUGUAAUACCGGUGAAGAUGCCGGUUACCUGCGACAGGACGGAAAGACCCCAUGGAGCUUUACUGUAGCUUGACAUUGAGUCUCGGUGCUACAUGUACAGGAUAGGUGGGAGACUAUGAAGCAUGGACGUCAGUCUGUGUGGAGUCAUCCUUGGGAUACCACCCUUGUAGUACUGGGUUUCUAACCAGAGGC